CCUAUUGAAAUAAAAGUUAUAAACCCCAUUCUUACGCUCUCACCUUUAUCUCAACCUCCCAAAACCAAAAACCUAAACCUUACCCUUUCUGCUCGUCACAGCUUCGUCUUCGAUCAAAUUGAUGCAAUUAUCGAACAUUCUCAAAAACACGAAACACGUCAAGGAAUUCGAGCUUGGUGUGAAUCUAAAAACUCUCCAAACGAAAUUAUCGAACCCGUUUCGCAACCAAUAACAAUAUCUUUGUCUCAUGAAGAGGCAAAAAUGAACAGUGAACUCGCGAAAUUAGUGAAGAAAGAGGUGGAUUUGGUGCAUCUGUGGCCGGAGUGGAUUCAAUUGAUGAAGAUAUUGGUGCAUUAGAAUUAUUUUUAACACAUGAGGAAGAUUGAGGAUAAAAUGGUGCAGGAUUUAGGGUUUGAUACUACCGAGGAUGUACACGACGAGGGGUUUGAUUUUACUAAGGGUUUUAAGAGUGUUCGUGUUAUGUGUCUCAAUUUUGGUGAGGAUCAUUUUCACUUGUUGAGAUCCCUUUCGAGGCGGGAUAUUUAAGUUUUGGUUGGUUUUGGAUGCCCUAAUGGGGACAGAAAGGUGAUUUUCUCUGGUAAGCUUUUAAGGAAGCUUGUACACCUUGACAAAAGAGAUGAGUUGAUGGACACUGAAGUUGAAAAGAAAAGGUAACAUUCCAGUAUUUAAAGUUGUUGUAUCAUAGAAAUAUUAAAUAUAUAGGAGUUUACUUUGUGACCUUUUUUUCUUUUCUAAUAAGCUAUCCAAUUUAUCUUUAAAUUACAAUGUAGAGAAAUAAUUAAUGAAAUUGAUAUAAAUAGGCAUAACUUUGUGUCCAAACAGAUGUUGUAAAAUGUAAAUCUUAAUUCUCCGAGGUAUGUUUUGAUUUCUUAGCUUGCAUCAAUUGUACGUUAUUUAUUCGUGCAUAAAGUCUCUAAAAAGACGAGGGGAGUGUGUUGGUGAUGUUGUAGAUGAAUAAUAUGAUGGAGACAUAAAAGAUCCCAUUUUGUGAAUUAUUCCAGGCAAUUUGGUCCUUCUGCUAACUUGUAAGAACUAGUUUGACAUUAAGUGGUCUAAUUCAGGGACUAGUUUGCUAGCAAGUGAUAUAAUACAGGGACUAGUUUGCUAGCAAGUGACAUAAUUCAGGUGACUAAUUUGACACUAAAUUAGAUACAGGGACUAGUUUUCUAGCAUGUGCGUAAGUAAAUGUUUUCUUAUCAUUUAUUAAUAGAAUCAUCUCAUAUUCUUUGUGGGUCCCUUGAUUGUUAGUUUCUCCAGUUACUCCCAUCAAAUUAAUUGCUUCUUGCAACCUAGUGUUGCUACUUUUUUAGAUCAUUGUCAAUGAUGCAUAAAUGUUAUUGGGGAAACCUUGUAUUGCUUCAGCAAAUCACAAUGUUUUAGGUUAAUACUUCUUUAGCCGCAGCUUAAACAUGAAUAUGGAAUGCGAUGGAAGUGGGGACUAGUUCGAGGAAUCAAACAAUCAGAUAGUGGAACAUCUAAAGAGAAAGGUUCAAAAUUCUCUUUUUCUUGGCCGAGUAUCAUGUUAAAUCAAUGUCGUUUAAUAUAGUUUUACUCGUGAUUGGGGAAUUGAAAUUGCAUUGCUAGUACUUUGGUAAUUGUUACUCGUGAUUGGGGAAUUGAAAUUGCAUUGCUUGUACAAAGGUAACAUGCUACUACAAACUUUUAUCAGCAUAUUAAAGCAAUGAAUUAAAUAAAAUCACUUUUUUCUUUUUCAAAAUCAAGUAUUUGCAAAUCAAUGCCAUCAUUGCAAAAGAGGAAACUUUUUUCCUCUUGUGGUUGUCUUGUCUUCUACUGAAGUUUUAAAUUUAACUAAAAAAACGUAAGAUAUUUUUCGUUUUUAGGUUGGCUUUUGCUGAGAAAUUGCUCUUUUACCUUUAAACACCAAUGUAAUAAUGCACAUUUUAAUGUUUUUCUUUACUCUUCCUUGAAUUAUAUUACUUUGAUUAUAUUUUUGUGUCAUACUUAUUGCAGUAGUCAUUGGCGGCAUGAAAGUUGAUUUGACCAAUCUUGUUAACUUCAAUAAUUUCCUCCUGCCCCAGCAGAAACAUGCACAUCAUCAUAAAAUUUUCAUAUACUCACAGGAAUAGAGGUGGAAGUCAGAUUAUUGGUUCCCCACAUCUGCCAUGGAAUCAUCUUGGGUUUGGAUCUGGACGAGAAUAUGACUUUAUUGUCUUAUAAUUCUAUGGCUAUAUUGAAUAGAAAAUAUGCACACAUCAUUGACACCCCCUAGCGGUUGCAUGUUAAUCAUCAAAUAGUUUUUUAAUGUGAUAAAUAAAAGAAGAUAUUUCAUGUCUUUAUCACUUAUUUGAAGCAUGAGUAACUUUUGUCUUGAUGCAGGUUCGCUUACAUCUUCUUACUGUAGUAAUGAAGUGUUUCUUUAAAAGACCCCUGAGACUCAGAAAGCAUUAGGAGCUGCACUGGCCGCAGGUCUUGCUGACUUUCACCAAGUCAGCUUAUUUUUAUCAAAUGUUAUGGAACAUUUCACCUUCUGAUAAAGUACAUGAGAAGUUGGUUAUCUUUAUAUGGAAUGCAAGUUUUCAAAGGAAAAUGCUGGUUACCGUCACAUUGAUGGCUAUCCAAUCUACGGCAAUGAGAAAGAAAUAAUUUAUUGUGUGUUUCAUCAAUGUUGAUGCAAUUUCAUGUGUGAAGGAAAUGAUUCAUUUAUUUCUUGUGUUGUAGAUUGGUUCUAUAUUGAAGAAACUGUUUGAUGAUGGCGUAGUGAAACGUGAAGAUUUGUUUAUUACCUCGAAACUCUGAAAACAAUUGCUUCUCGAUGGCGUAGUAUUUUGGCCAUGGAUGAAUCCAAUGCUAUAUGUGGAAAGCGGUUGGAUUCAAUUGGACUAGAGAACACCGAAGCUAACCGUCAAGCAUGGUGUAAAAUUAUAUAUGAAGAAAGUGUUAUGACUUAGUUAAAAUAUAAAUUUUAUGUGUAUGAUUUUAUAGUACUUGAAAUAUUAUGACUGCACAUGAUUUUGUAUACUUUUUGGUUAAUAUUAAAAAUAUUUUUACUUAGUUAAAAUAUGAUUUUUAUGUGUAUGAUUUUAUAAUAUUUGCAAUAUUAUGACUGAAAAUGAAAUAUAAUUAAAUGGUGUAUAUGAAAUAGGGUGUAAAUGGAUAUAAUUGUUCAUUCAUAAAUGGCGUAUUU